GGGGGCGCAUUUGGCAUCGAUUUCGAUGUGCGGCUGCCCGCGGCAAGUCGAGGGCUGUGAAUUGGUUGGCCUCGUAAAAAAACCAGUUCAAAAAAAUAAAAGCCAACGAAGAAUUGGCCCUCGCUGCUUAAUUAAAAAAUAAGCACGACGUCGUUGCUCCGACUCCGGCUGGGAGACAACGGCGCUAUUAGCCGGGCGGGUGUGCAAGGUGAGUGACCGACCUUGCAUGUCGGCAUCAACGUGGUGACUGGGAUGGUGGGGCCUGCGAUCCGGCAACUCACCGUUCGAGAACAAAUGGAUCGCUAAACUUGUAGAAGCGGCUGGCUAAUCGCCGAAAGACGGGGGUUCGAAUCCCCCCGCCUCCACCA
rnacentral:tmRNA from 1 species